ACGCUGGCGGCGUGGAUAAGACAUGCAAGUCGAACGGGAGAAUUGCUAGCUUGCUAAUAAUUCUCUAGUGGCGCACGGGUGAGUAACACGUGAGUAACCUGCCUCUUAGUGGGGGAUAGCCCUGGGAAACCGGGAUUAAUACCGCAUACGAUUGAAAGAUCAAAGCAGCAAUGCGCUAGGAGAUGGGCUCGCGGCCUAUUAGUUAGUUGGUGAGGUAACGGCUCACCAAGGCGAUGACGGGUAGCCGGUCUGAGAGGAUGUCCGGCCACACUGGAACUGAGACACGGUCCAGACACCUACGGGUGGCAGCAGUCGAGAAUCAUUCACAAUGGGGGCAACCCUGAUGGUGCGACGCCGCGUGGGGGAAUGAAGGUCUUCGGAUUGUAAACCCCUGUCAUGUGGGAGCAAAUUAAAAAGAUAGUACCACAAGAGGAAGAGACGGCUAACUCUGUGCCAGCAGCCGCGGUAAUACAGAGGUCUCAAGCGUUGUUCGGAAUCACUGGGCGUAAAGCGUGCGUAGGCUGUUUCGUAAGUCGUGUGUGAAAGGCAGGGGCUCAACCCCUGGAUUGCACAUGAUACUGCGAGACUAGAGUAAUGGAGGGGGAACCGGAAUUCUCGGUGUAGCAGUGAAAUGCGUAGAUAUCGAGAGGAACACUCGUGGCGAAGGCGGGUUCCUGGACAUUAACUGACGCUGAGGCACGAAGGCCAGGGGAGCGAAAGGGAUUAGAUACCCCUGUAGUCCUGGCAGUAAACGGUGCACGCUUGGUGUGCGGGGAAUCGACCCCCUGCGUGCCGGAGCUAACGCGUUAAGCGUGCCGCCUGGGGAGUACGGUCGCAAGAUUAAAACUCAAAGAAAUUGACGGGGACCCGCACAAGCGGUGGAGUAUGUGGCUUAAUUCGAUGCAACGCGAAGAACCUUACCUGGGCUUGACAUGUAAUGAACAACAUGUGAAAGCAUGCGACUCUUCGGAGGCGUUACACAGGUGCUGCAUGGCCGUCGUCAGCUCGUGUCGUGAGAUGUUUGGUUAAGUCCAGCAACGAGCGCAACCCCUGUUGCCAGUUACCAGCACGUCAAGGUGGGGACUCUGGCGAGACUGCCCAGAUCAACUGGGAGGAAGGUGGGGACGACGUCAGGUCAGUAUGGCCCUUAUGCCCAGGGCUGCACACGUACUACAAUGCCCAGUACAGAGGGGGCCGAAGCCGCGAGGCGGAGGAAAUCCUGAAAACUGGGCCCAGUUCGGACUGUAGGCUGCAACCCGCCUACACGAAGCCGGAAUCGCUAGUAAUGGCGCAUCAGCUACGGCGCCGUGAAUACGUUCCCGGGUCUUGUACACACCGCCCGUCACAUCAUGGAAGCCGGUCGCACCCGAAGUAUCUGAAACGAACCGCAAGGAGGCAGGGUCCUAAGGUGAGACUC
rnacentral:rRNA from 1 species